UUGGCCACAUUCUCUUAUUCAUUCUACUAUUUUAAAAUUUCUGUGUUCACAAUGAUAUGAUCUAAAAAUGCAGAUGAUAUCCAUCUUCCUUGCUGUUUUCCUUCCAAUCCUUUUGCUUAGUUUUUUCACCUUGUUCUCCCGGGAGCCCCUGUUGCUGACGCCGAUGCUGGGGUCUCGGGUGUUCCUUCUCAUCUCGCUCCUGACUUGAGGAGGCAGAUUUCAACAUGGAACAGCAGGGAAAGCUGAUCUGAGCGACGUGCUGUGCUCCAGCACUGGGAAGCUCUCUGCUUAGCCACAGAACCUCACCACCGCUCUUUCCUGUCCUCUUCUUAAAAACAAUGAUUGAGUAGUUUCCUGAUAAGAAAAACUCACCAGACUGUCUCAAUUUCUAGACUCCUGCUUUGUGAGACUGCUGGCUUCCUAAAGUUGUGCCAGAUCAGCUCCCGGGAAAGGUAAACGUUAUUAGCAGGUGCACUGAGGCUGUUAUCUGCCAACAUCAUCCAGCAGGAAAAUGAGACAAAAGGAAAAAGGAUGUUUGUUUUAAAUUUAGUGUAAAAUUAUAUAAAUAAAUAAAACCACAGAGAAAUUAGAUAUCUCUAAGGAAAAGAAGAAACCUCAGCCUCACACCUUCUACAAAAAUCAACUAAAAAUGGAUCACAGAUUCAAAUAUAAAACAUAAAACUACAUAUUUAGACAAUAACAUAGGGCAAAGUCUUUAAGACCUAGAGUUUGCAAACGUGUCACCAAAACCACAAUCCAUAAAAGAAAUAAAUCAAUAAAUUGGAUUUAAUCAAAAAAGCCUUUGCUCUGUUAAGGACCUUGUUAGCCAUAAGAUCAUGUGCAGAGAAGGACCCUGUUGAGACAAGAUGCAGACUGGAAGAAUAUAUUUGCAAACCACGUAUCUGACAAAGGAUUAUUAUCUAGACAUGUAAAGAACACUUAAACGCAACAGUAAAGCAAACAAGCCAAUUAGAAAAUGGGCAAAAGACAUGAACAGACAUUUCACUAGAAAGGAUCUGUGGAUGGUGAAAAAGCACAUGGAAAGAUGUUCAACAUUACUCGCUGUUAGAGAGAUGCGAUGAGUUCUUUUUACACAGCUAAAUUAGAAAAGAGUGACCGCACCAGACGCUGGUAAGGACACGGAGAAACAGGAUCAUCCACACAUUGCUGGUGUGGAUAUCAAAGGUGCAGGCCACUCUGGAGAACAGGCAGCUCCUUAGAAACUAAGCAUACACUUCCCAGUAUGACCUGGCAGCUGCUCUCCUGGCCAUUUAUUCCAGAGAAAUGAAAACUUCCGUUUGCAGAAAUAACCACGUAUGGUCACUCAUGGCAGCAUUAUCUGUAAUAGCAAGAAAAAAAAAAGGAACUCUCCAAAAUGCCCCCACUCGGUGGACGGGUAGGCAAGCUGUGGUCAUCCACACCCAGGAGUGUCACUCAGCAAAGACAGCAACAGGCUACAGGCAGAUCUCAAGGGCAUUAUGCUGAACGAAAGAAGCCAAACCCAAAAGGUCCUAUACUGUAGAAUUCAAUUCAUAUAACAUUAUCAAAAUGACAAAAUGACAGCGAUAGGAAACAGAUUGGUGGCUGUUGUGAGCUAGAGAUGGUGGAGUUGGGGUGGGGAGGAGGCUGUGACUGUGAACAUGUAAGUAUUCCUGUUCCAGGGUUACCAUAACACACGAUCACAAACUGGGUGGCUUAAAACAAUCGGAAUUUAUCUUCUUACCAUUCUGAAAACUACGAGUCUGAAAUCGUGGCUUGGGCAGGGCCACAUUCCCUCUGAGGCCCUAGGGGGGAUCUGUAUCCCUCUCCCCUCUUCCAGCUUCCAGGGGCUGCUGAGCGUCCUUGGCAUCCUUGGCUUCUAAAUGCAUCCAGCCAGACUUUGCAUCCAUCUUCGCAUGGCCUCCCCCGGUGUGGACUUCUGUGCCUCUUCCCAACUUCUCACGAGGAGACCAGUCAUUGGAUUUGGAGCCCGCCUGACUCUCGUGUGACUUCAUCCGUCUUCUCUUGAUUACAUCCGACUGGAAUGAUGGCUUCUAUCUGUUCCAAAGAACUCCAAUAUUGCCUCAAGUGAAGAGGAAAGCUUCAUAUUUCAAGGCCACUGACUGGAGCCCAUUCACAUGCCACAAGGGGACGGAUGCCAUUGUUUUUUUUAUGGCGAAGAAAACGGUGAUGUAUCGGAGUCUCAUCACCCCGUCUCUCCAUCAUUGUUGGUGUGUAGAUCAGCCAGUCUGGCUUGUGUAGCAGGAUUAAAAUGUUAUGUCUCCCAGUGAGCUAGUGAAUAUCAACACUUUCUCUCUUUCUGUAUGUGAAGUCCCUUUUUAGUGGAUAAAGCCAUUUGUUGACAGAAUUAUUGACAUUUUUAUGGGAUUGUUUUUGGAAAAGGCUAACGUGUAAUUUCAAAUUCAACAUAUGGUAGUGGUCAAAUUGUGUUCCUACUGUGUAAAAUGCCUGAAUAAUAACCUACUGCACUCUCUUGGCCAGUACACAGAGCAAAACUUGAUUAAUUUCACCAGUUUCCCUUAAUCUCCUCCUUUGGCUCCCAUCCCAUUCUGUAAGAAUUGAUAAAUCUUACAUCCCCUGAAGAUUAUUACAGUUCCGAAUAGUCUUAUGACAUUAGAAAGAAGCCAGGCUCAGUGGCACAAAAUACAUCUAACACAUGAAAUCACAUAAAUAAUUUAGUUUUCACAAUUUAAUUUUUAUAGUUUUUUUUGUUGUGGUUGCUGCUAUUAUUGAUGGGGUAUAAUAAGGACUGUUGGCUGACACUGCAGUUAAAAAAAUGGGGAACAUUUUGACAUCAAAAAUGUCGAUGUUGUUACUACCCUUCACUGUUGACCACGCUCAACGAUUCAAUUUCAGCCUAAGGUCGGGAAUGUGUUCAUAAAUUAUACCAUCAGAGAGGCUGAUGCAGAAAGAAAAAAUUAGCUCAUUUUCUUAUAGAAAAAUACUUUUCUCUCUUGAAAAAUGAACGUGGGGCCAAUUUUACACAUCUCUGGUUCAAAAUAACCUGCAUCAACUUGGGAUCAUUAGUAACUAUUUCUCCAAAAUCCUGUGGCUCUUAACAGCAACGUAUCUAUUAAGCACCCUGCAUGCCAGAGCCUCUGCUAAGUGCUGGGGUGGAUGUCAGGCAAUUAUGAUGCAUGCCCUUGUUCUCAGAGUUAAUCCUUCAUCAACACACACCCAUCCAGUAGGUGAUUGACAAAGGAACACAGAAAGUCUAUUUGACACUAUGGAUGUAAAGAUUGGCCUGGGAUUUGUUUUCUAAUAGCUUUAA